rnacentral:rRNA from 1 species
UAGGGAAUCUUCCGCAAUGGGCGAAAGCCUGACGGAGCAACGCCGCGUGAGUGAUGAAGGUCUUCGGAUCGUAAAACUCUGUUAUUAGGGAUGAACAAAUGUGUCAGUAACUAUGCACGUCUUGACGGUACCUAAUCAGAAAGCCACGGCUAACUACGUGCCAGCAGCCGCGGUAAUACGUAGGUGGCAAGCGUUAUCCGGAAUUAUUGGGCGUAAAGCGCGCGUAGGCGGUUUUUUAAGUCUGAUGUGAAAGCCCACGGCUCAACCGUGGAGGGUCAUUGGAAACUGGAAAACUUGAGUGCAGAAGAGGAAAGUGGAAUUCCAGGUGUAGCGGUGAAAUGCGCAGAGAUAUGGAGGAACACCAGUGGCGAAGGCGACUUUCUGGUCUGUAACUGACGCUGAUGUGCGAAAGCGUGGGGAUCAAACAAG